AUACGGAGGAUCCGAGCGUUAUCCGGAUUUAUUGGGUUUAAAGGGUGCGCAGGCGGCCAUUUAAGUCAGCGGUUAAAUCGUGGGGCUCAACCCCAUUCUGCCGUUGAUACUGGGUGGCUUGAUUGCGGUCGAGGUUGGCGGAAUUCGUUGUGUAGCGGUGGAAUGCAUAGAUAUGACGAAGAACACCGAUUGCGUAGGCAGCUGACCAGACCGCAAAUGACGCUCAUGCACGAAAGUGCGGGGAUCGAACAGGAUUAGAUACCCUGGUAGUCCGCACAGUAAACGAUGAAUACUUGUUUUCAGCGAUAUAAUGUCGGAGGCAAAGCGAAAGCGAUAAGUAUUCCACCUGGGGAGUACGCCGGCAACGGUGAAACUCAAAGGAAUUGACGGGG
rnacentral:rRNA from 1 species